rnacentral:rRNA from 1 species
GACGAACGCUGGCGGCGCGCCUAACACAUGCAAGUCGAACGAGCGAGGGAGAGCUUGCUUUCUUGAGCGAGUGGCGAACGGGUGAGUAACGCGUGAGGAACCUGCCUCAAAGAGGGGGACAACAGUUGGAAACGACUGCUAAUACCGCAUAAGCCCACGACCCGGCAUCGGGUUGAGGGAAAAGGAGCAAUCCGCUUUGAGAUGGCCUCGCGUCCGAUUAGCUAGUUGGUGAGGUAACGGCCCACCAAGGCGACGAUCGGUAGCCGGACUGAGAGGUUGAACGGCCACAUUGGGACUGAGACACGGCCCAGACUCCUACGGGAGGCAGCAGUGGGGAAUAUUGCACAAUGGGGGAAACCCGGAUGCAGCGACGCCGCGUGGAGGAAGAAGGUCUUCGGAUUGUAAACUCCUGUUGUUGAGGAAGAUAAUGACGGUACUCAACAAGGAAGUGACGGCUAACUACGU